rnacentral:rRNA from 1 species
AUUGAACGCUGGCGGCAGGCCUAACACAUGCAAGUCGAGCGGAUGAAGGGAGCUUGCUCCUGGAUUCAGCGGCGGACGGGUGAGUAAUGCCUAGGAAUCUGCCUGGUAGUGGGGGAUAACGUCCGGAAACGGGCGCUAAUACCGCAUACGUCCUGAGGGAGAAAGUGGGGGAUCUUCGGACCUCACGCUAUCAGAUGAGCCUAGGUCGGAUUAGCUAGUUGGUGGGGUAAAGGCCUACCAAGGCGACGAUCCGUAACUGGUCUGAGAGGAUGAUCAGUCACACUGGAACUGAGACACGGUCCAGACUCCUACGGGAGGCAGCAGUGGGGAAUAUUGGACAAUGGGCGAAAGCCUGAUACAGCCAUGCCGCGUGUGUGAAGAAGGUCUUCGGAUUGUAAAGAACUUUAAGUUGGGAGGAAGGGCAGUAAGUUAAUACCUUGCUGUUUUGACGUUACCAACAGAAUAAGCACCGGCUAACUUCGUG